rnacentral:rRNA from 1 species
UAGGGAAUAUUGGUCAAUGGACGAAAGUCUGAACCAGCCAUGCCGCGUGAAGGAUGACGGCCCUCUGGGUUGUAAACUUCUCUUAUCUGGGACGAAAAAAGAUCAUUCCUGAUCACUUGACGGUACCAGAGGAAUAGGCACCGGCUAACUCCGUGCCAGCAGCCGCGGUAAUACGGAGGAUCCAAGCGUUAUCCGGAAUCAUUGGGUUUAAAGGGUCCGUAGGCGGUUUAGUAAGUCAGUGGUGAAAGCCCAUCGCUCAACGAUGGAACGGCCAUUGAUACUGCUAGACUUGAAUUAUUAGGAAGUAACUAGAAUAUGUAGUGUAGCGGUGAAAUGCUUAGAUAUGACAUAGAACACCAAUUGCGAAGGCAGCUGGCUACGCAUAUAUUGACACUGAGGCACGAAAGCGUGGGGAUCAAACA